rnacentral:rRNA from 1 species
UGGGGAAUAUUGGACAAUGGGCGAAAGCCUGAUCCAGCCAUGCCGCGUGAGUGAUGAAGGCCCUAGGGUUGUAAAGCUCUUUUAGCGGGGAAGAUAAUGACGGUACCCGCAGAAUAAGCCCCGGCUAACUUCGUGCCAGCAGCCGCGGUAAUACGAAGGGGGCUAGCGUUGCUCGGAAUCACUGGGCGUAAAGGGCGCGGAGGCGGCCAUUCAAGUCGGGGGUGAAAGCCCAGGGCUCAACCCUGGAAUUGCCUUCGAUACUGUUUGGCUAGAGACCGGAAGAGGUAAGUGGAACUGCGAGUGUAGAGGUGAAAUUCGUAGAUAUUCGCAAGAACACCAGUGGCGAAGGCGGCUUACUGGUCCGGUUCUGACGCUGAGGCGCGAAAGCGUGGGGAGCAAACAGG